UGGUGGAUUAUUCUGUCUGCUUAAUUGCGAUAACGAACGAGACCUUUACUUGUUAACUAGGGAUAUUAUAGAAAUAUAGAAAACCCUUCUUAAAAGGACAAUCUGUGACUAACAGAUGGAAGAUGGAGGCAAUAACA
rnacentral:rRNA from 1 species